rnacentral:rRNA from 1 species
GACGAACGCUGGCGGCGUGCUUAACACAUGCAAGUCGAACGGUAAGGCUCCAGCUUGCUGGGGUACACGAGUGGCGAACGGGUGAGUAACACGUGGGUGACCUGCCCUGCACUUCGGGAUAAGCCUGGGAAACUGGGUCUAAUACCGGAUAGGACCGCACCGUGAGGGUGUGGUGGAAAGUUUUUUCGGUGUGGGAUGGGCCCGCGGCCUAUCAGCUUGUUGGUGGGGUAAUGGCCUACCAAGGCGGCGACGGGUAGCCGGCCUGAGAGGGUGGACGGCCACAUUGGGACUGAGACACGGCCCAGACUCCUACGGGAGGCAGCAGUGGGGAAUAUUGCACAAUGGGCGGAAGCCUGAUGCAGCGACGCCGCGUGGGGGAUGACGGCCUUCGGGUUGUAAACUCCUUUCACCAUCGACGAAGGGUUUCUGACGGUAGAUGGAGAAGAAGCACCGGCUAACUACGUG